UUAAAAUUUAAGUUAACAGCAUGUAAUUAAAUAUUCUCUCAAAACACAGAAUAGUGACAAAUCUAAAGUAACACAUAAGGUGCAAAAAAGACUCAUGUCAUUGAUCCAACCUUAAAAUAGUAUUCUUCAGAUUCGCAGAGCUCAGCAUAGGAAUCUGUUUCUUCUGAUAGGACUGUUUUCCUUAAUAUUCUACCAUAUUUGAAUUUUAUUGUUGCUGGCAACCUUGCUGGCCUGUGAUGCACUUGCUGACAAAAUACUCUACAAUAUGGGAACCAAGAGCUAAAAAGAUCCUACUGAAUUAUAUACAGUUUGUAUGUAUGCAGCACAUAUUGUUCAAAAAACUAGUGUCUCUGCCAGGUAGGUCCAUUGAUUGAGAGCAUAAAAAUCUAGGUCACAAGUAACAACUCCAUAUUAUAAAAAUUUCACAUUCAAACAAAUACACUUCCCUUCACAAAUAAUAUAUUGUGUUACUUUCAGCUAAACCAAAACAAAAAAAAAAGAACCACAAUAAUGUAAAAUUGGUAAGGUGAAAAAGAAAUAUGCCCGAAUUUUCUAAAAAAGGCACAGCAAGUCUUGUUCACAAGACAAGAAUCAACAAUAGGUUCUUUAUUUGAAGAGUUAUUUGUUAAUGACCGUCUUAGCUAAUAGCAGGACAAUUUUAUGAGAAACACAAACAAGAAUAGGUAAGUCAUCUUGUCCCGACAAAAUGAAUGAACAGUUUAACUACGAAUCACAAGCAUGCAGGAAGAAGCUGAGUGAGCGCACAAAAAGAUUUUCAAUUUGGAGAGAUGGAAUUUAGCACUGAAUAAAGGAUUGAAGCAUGAUUUUAGUCCAGCACAACAGUGGAUUAUGGAAACAGAAAAAGUAGCAGAAACCAAGAAAAGAAAAAUAAACAAAAGUAAAAUUCUCAAUUACCUUGAGAAAGUCUCCUGCAAAAGCAACUGCUCAAUAGCAAGUUUUGAUUCACUUCUAGAAACGAUGGCUGUUGAGUCCGCGAUGCCUCUCCUGAGUGUCUCCAAUUUCUUCCCCUUUAAACAAAUGAAUUACAUAUCUUUAUUUAUUUUGGCAAUUGAAUAUAUUUCUCAUUAUUGUUUCUGUUUCAAAAUCAAACUCAUAAGUAGCCAAAAAUGAACAGAACGAAACCAACCGACAACAAUAAUAAAUGAAUUUUAGAAAGCACAUGAUGGUGCAUUAUAAAACAAUACAAUUUAUAAAACAAUACAAUUUGUAUUGAACAUAAGUUCAUAAAUCUAGUACACAUUGAGCAAAAAUUUACAGGCUGAUGAUUUGAAUGUUUCAUGAAAAAACAUAAUAAAGGAAUUACUUGGUCUGAUUCCUGAAACUUUGCAGGAGAUUCACCAUCAUCCUCCUCUUUAUCUGCAAAAGGAUCAAUCGCAUCACGCAUAAAUCAAGAUUUCUUCAUCAGAGAAAGCAACUUGUUUUGACAAAGAACUUCAUUCAAAAGAAACCUAAAUGGAGGAAUAGGGACAAACAGAACUGAAAGACUGAAUAUUGGCUCCGAAAUUGUUGGCAAAUCAAUUUAGCUACUAAAAAUCUACAGAACCAAUAAUCUUCAGCGGACAAAACUCAUGUCCUCAGAAAAUAUUGGCAAAUCAAUUUAAUAUUUACUAUCACUCCCUUUCUCUGUCUCACGUAGACAGAGAACUCAUAUUCUCAGAAUUUUGCUCAACAGUUUAGUUAAAGUUAAGAAGCUGAAGAUAAAGAUCGAGUCUGAAAUCAAAAAUUUCUGUUUUGGGCCAAGUCUUUUCUUCAAACAUCACCCAAAAUUGACAGAAACUAGCUUAUUAAUUUGAACUUGGUUCAUCUACAAAUAACUCAUCCAAUUUCUUUUACCAUAGUUUGAUCUUUUUGACAGACGGCAAUAUGGACAUUAGCUAAGUUCUUCAUAACACUAGAAUUGAGAUUAAACAUAACUUUAAUAUUUCAAUAUUCACAGUAUUGACCGGCCACCCAAUAUCAGAUGGAUAAGUAAAAUUCCAACAGUCCAUAUUCCGAAUCACCGAUACAACUGAAAGUAUAAAAUUCCAACAGUCCAUAUUCUGAAUUCAAACAAUGAACCGCAACUUAAACCAACCCAUUAACUGGAUUGCACCAUAUAGCAAUAUCAAAGAACUCUUCAUUGAGAAAUAAUGUCAGCUUAUCUCACCCCAAAAUCUGUUUCAGAAUUAACGACCAUCAUAGUUCCUCCUACUUUAAAAGGUGAUUAUGCGCGUGAAGUAGCUUCUUCUACUCUAAUUCUUGCCCUUUUGCCUCUCCAAGGUCCUUAAAACUUAUCACUUUACACUAAUAAAGGACUUUACUGAAUGGUAAUAUGGCCUAUUCCCAGAGCAAUUUUUCUACUUAUCAAACAUUAGAUAUAUAUAUAUAUAUAUAUAUAUAUAUAUAUAUAUAUAUAUAUAGAGAGAGAGAGAGAGAGAGAGAGAGAGAGAGUUGAGCUGCAAUGCUAUAAGUAGCAAACGGACUCCAGCCAUUUGAUUUCGAUGGAGUCUCCAAAUCGACGAUCUGCACCUUUGAACAUGAUUUAUACCACUUGAAGCAUCUAGAAACCAAAUUUCAUGCUUUUCGAUAUUGUUCUCUUGUCCAUCAAGUGGACACAAAAAUGAACGGCUGAAAAUGAAUAUCCUCUAAAAAGUGAUGAUAGGAAUCUUGUAAUCAAGAUCAAGAGUAUAGAUCUUGUUCUAAAAAAUUUAAAUUUUCUAAUCAAAAUUCAAUUGAUUUGGAUAACUUUACACCGUUAAACGAAAAAACGCCUCAUAUCGACCAUUAAAAUCACAAAUUUUGAAACGCUCUGAUCAUUAGGUCAAUGAUGUCGAAAAGAUUUGAAAUUUGGUUUCUAGAUACUUCAAGUGAUAUAGAUCAUAUUCAACGUGCGAUCAGUCGAUUUUAGAAUGCCUCAUCAUCGAAAGACAAAUGCGAUGGCAACGCGAGCCCAUGUUGCCUACUAUAGCAUUCCAGCCCCUCAACUCUAUAUAAUUUUUAUAAGAGUCCGGUAUAUACUAUCGUGACACGGAGGCCUCCAUUGCCUUAUCAGUUGUUUAUCAAUGAUGCGGCCUUCCAAAUCGUACAUCAUCUCCACUAGACUUGAUUCUACACUUAUUGAAAUUAGUUGGCCAAACUAAAUUUAAUAAUUUUUCAGAUUAUUAUUUGGCUAGUGAUCAAAAGGUCUCAAAAUACAAUGUUUAUGCGUCAAUAUGAAUUGCGAUUGUGAAUUUUAAUGGUGCGUUUACAAAAAUUCAAAUCUGAUGAAUUUUUAUAGAAAUUCUUUUCACUAUUAAGAGCUAAAGAUUUAGUACCUUGAUUCUUAAAUUCAAAUCUUUUCAUCAUUUUUUUAUGAGAAUUUUAUCUUUCAGCCGUUCAUUUUUAGACUACUCAUUUCAAUAUGUAAAUUGAUCGAAAAUUAUGACAAUUUUAGUUCCAAAUUACUUUCAAUAGCUGUUAUCAAGUCUAUUAGAGCCCGAUCCAUCAUUCAUUGAAACAACUUAGAUAGCGCGGAGGCCUCCAUGUUACCAAUGAUAUAGCAGCCUAGAUCAUAUAUAUAUUAUAUAUAUAUAUUAUUAUAUAUAUAUAGAUGAGAGAAUGGAGAGAUGAGGGGGGAGAGAGACGUGAGCGAGAGAGAGAGAGAGUUGGGCUAGGAAUACUAUUGAUAGUAAAAGCGGCCUUUUUACUAUCAGUUUUUAGUUUUGGAUCAAUUUCUUUCAUCAUUCUAAACAUUUGGAUUAAAUAUUUAUAACCGAUGCGGGAGACCACUCAACGGCCUAGAGGAACAUCAACCCUAAGCCCUCUUUUCGUUGGGCGGUUUAAGAGGGUGGAAUAACCUUCUUAACCAACCCAUUUUUCCCAAACACUCCAAAAAAAUGGGUGGGGUUACGACCCCACCUCAAAUAAAUUAUUCACGGGCGGUUAAGCUAACCCCACCAAACUCUAACAACACUAUUUUCUAAUUCUAAUUAACCCACUAUCCUAUUCUUAUCACACACUACUGCCAAACCAAUCAUUAUCCUUCUUUAUCAAUCAUUUAUCUUCUUAUCCCACCUACUCCAACCAAACACCUAUUAUUUUCAUUAUUCUAGACUAACUCCAACCAACAACAAACAAAAAAAAACUUUAACCCACUUUAACCUGAACUAACCUAUCCCGGUGGAAUAGCCUACUUUGUUCACUUAACCCCGAACCAAACGGCAGGCUAAAAAGAACUAUUUAUCAAUCCUACCCUACGAAUUUUAUCCAAGGAUUAAAACUUGAUAGCCAAAAAGGACCUUUUCCACAAUAGUAUUCUAGGCCUAGCUCUAUGAUAAUAUAUAUAUAUAUAUAUAUUUAUAUUAUAUAGAGAGAGAGAAGAGAAGAGAGAGUAGGACUUCUGCUGCUAUUGGAAACACGCGACAUGUUUUCAAUGAUAACUUCCGAUGCGCGGAUCAACGUCCAUUAGACUUAAUCUAGCAUUAUGGAAGUAUCUUUAGACAAAAUAAUUUUUGCAAUUUUUCGGUCAUUAACCUUAAUGAUCGAAGGGUUCCAAAUCAACAAUUUUUAAAUUGGUCUGAGUAUUUGACGUAGUGUUAAAAAAGCUAAAGACACACCUAGGCCAAGAGGUUUAGGCCUAAGGCGCAAGGCGCAAGGCGCAAGUGUGCGCCUGAGAGAAGUGAGGCGCACACUUUUAUAGAAUUUUGAAACCAAAAAGUUUCUUACUAUACUUUCUAAUAAUUGUUAAGUAGCACAAAAUAUACUCUUUAAAAUCAUAUUAUCACAAUAAAUAUUCUAUAAUCACUCAAAUAAUCACGUUUUCGAAAGGUAAAAAAUAAAGAAAAGAAAAGAAGCUAAGCAAUAUAUUUGGUAAUUUUAAAAAACAAAAUAACAUAGAUAAAAGUGAAAGGUAAAUUACCUUUUUGUCUCCAAAUAAAGACCAGCAUAAAGGUAACUAUUAAUUCACAAAUCACAAACAUAUAGAAAACUUUGAUGUGAAAAAUAUAUAAUUAUAAGCACAAGAUCAUAAAAAAAUAACAUGCAUGAUCCAUAAAAGUUUGAAGUUUCAAGCCAAAGAUCAUUAAAAAAGCAUAUAGAUCUAAAUAAAAAAUAUGGAUCCAAACCCAUUAGAGCAUAUGGAUCUAAAUCCAAACCCAUUAGUGUAAACACUAAGAAGGCACGCCUAGGCGGCGCUUUGCGCCUAGGCUAGGCGCGCGCCUGAGGCGCGCUUUUUUAAGCUAUGGUAUGUUGUUUGCAAGUUUAAUGGCGUAGAAGUAUUUAAAUCAAAUAAAAUUUUGAUAAAAAAUUCUUUAUACUAUCUACAAUAAAAUUAAUAUCUCUAAUCGAAAAUUUUAGUGCUAUAUCAUAACUUUUUGUGAAAUUUUUAUUUUCAAGCGUUGAUUUUAAAUCCUUUCGAUUGCUAGGUAAAUAAUAUCGAAAAAUCGCAAAAUUUAUUUUCUACAUACUUCAAAUACGCUAGAUCAAGUCUAAAGGAGCUAAUCGUCGAUUCGAAAACUCCAUCAUCAAAAACGGCUUAAUAGCACACAAGCUAUAUAUAUAUAUAUAUAUAUAUAGAGAGAGAGAGAGAGAGAAGCAAUUGAGCUAGAAUAUUUUGAAGCACCAACCCUUUGGUGCUUCUAAGUUCUAGCCUUGAUCUUAAUUGCUCUUUAAUAUCUAAUACACCGCUUGGAUCAAACAUUAUUCACACUCACCACCACUACCACCAUCAUCUCAACCUACAUCUCUCCAUCCAAUGGUUAAAAAACUCAAAGCCACACUCCCUGUGGUCUUUGAGAAGUUAUUCUAGACUCACUAUUAUAUGUCAUAUAUAUAUUAUAUUUAUAUAUAUUAAUAUUAGUAAAUAGGCUACUAAUCUAUCCGAUAGCACUGAGCGCUCGCUGCUACUAAGUGUUUCGAUGAUGCGGCUUCCAAAUACGACGAUCGGCUCCCUUAAGUUGUAUCUAUCACUAUUGAAAAGUAUUUAGAAACUUAAAAAAUUUCCAUAUUUUUUCAUAUCAUUUACCUAUCAAACAAUGUAAUCUAACACUGAACGGCUGAAACUAAAAAAUCUCAUAAAAAUGAUGACUAAAAGAUUUAAAUCAAGAUCAGAUAUACUAUUCUUAUCUAAAUAGGGAAAAGAAUUUCUAUAUAAAUUUCGUAUGUCGCAUUUGGAUUUUUGCACUGUUAAACUCACCACAACACAAACCACAUCCGCCAUUAAAUUGUCAAUAUCUGAGAUCUUUUAUCACUAGUCAAUAUUUCAAAUAGGUUUCUUCAAUUGUAGAUCAGUCUACGGAGCCGAUGUCGAUUUGAAGGCCACUGAUCAUCGAAAACACUUGCGUAGCACGGACGCUCCGUGCUACCCGAUAUGCAUAGUAGCCGACUCAUUAUUAUAUAAUAGUAUAUAUAUAUAUAUAUAUAUAGAACUAUUAUCGAUAGCUGGAAUCUAUAAUAGACACCAUGCCAUUGUGUGCUAUUAGUUUUUUUAGCGGCAUGGAUUGCCGAAAUAUGCGUUAGGAUAUGAGUGCCCUAGGGUUCGAGUGGUGCUGUUGGUUGAAUAUAUAAUCUAACGAUGUUAAAAUAAUCAAAGGUUAAAUCUAAUGGUAAAAACUGCAGAUAGCACCAAAUCCUUAUGGUGACUAUCAUAGUAUGCCAGUCGUGGCUCUCUCCUCUCCUCUCUCAUAAUAUAUACUAAGUAGAGUCGCGGCUAUUAGCUCUUAUGAGGUAUGAUUGCCCUCGUACUAUAAGUUGUUUUGCAUAAUAAAGCUUACCGAACACGCAUUCCUACCGUCAAAACGGUUAUGUAGAGCAUAUUAAAACUUCUAUAAUCAAAUUUUUAUAAUUUUUGGAUAUUCAUUUAGCAUUACGAUCAAAAGGUCACAAAAUUGACAAUUUAUUUAACAGUCGUAGCGAUACUUGCUAGUUUAACGGUGUAAAUAGAAUCGGAAAUCGGUUGAAUUUUUAAUAGAAAUUCUAUUCACUACCUAGAAAAGAAUCAACUAACUCCAUAUUAAAUUGAAAAAUUUUGAACGACCCAUUUUAGGAUGUCGUUUCGAUUAUCGACCGUUCAUUUGUAUACCCUGCUUGUGAAGGAUUUAUUUAUUUUGAUGAGAAUUACGAAUGUAUUUCUCUAGAAUUUUCAAACAUACUCUAGAUCAUAUUUAACGUUGUGGAUUCGUCGAUUCGGAAGAUCCAUCAUUAAAAUAACUUAUGAGUACGAAUGGCUCUAACCUACUCAAUAAGGAGUAUAGUAGCCCUACUUCUAUAUAUAAUAUAAUAUAUAUAUACUAUAUUAUAUAUAUAUAUAUAUAUAUAUAUAUAUAAAUAAGCUCCUAUGGCUUUUAGCAAGUACCAAGUCAUUGUGCUGUAAAGUUUCCGCCCUUGAUUAUGAGGGAUGUGCGGUUAGGAUAUGUGCCCAGGUGAGUGUGAGUUGGUUGAAUAUAUAUAAUUUCUAAGUGUAAACAUGAUUAAAGGGCGUAGAUUUAACGGUAAAAUAAUUCACAAUGCCCAUAUUGCUUGGUGCUUUUACAACCACAUCAUAGCUGGACUUAUAUAUAUAUUAUAGAGCUCAUGCUGCUCAUCCUAUUGAUGCACAGCAGCAUUCAUGCUAGAAGGUUGUUUAGCCAAUUUAGAUUGUAUCGAGAUCGUGCGGGGUUUUAUGGGAUGCAUAACGGAAAGAAAGCCCGUUGUUCCGUUUGCUGCCCCCCCCCUCUCUUCGUAAAUAUUCUCUCUCUCUCUCUUUGGAUCUGAGAAGAAAAUCCCCCAUCUCUCCCUAUCUCACAUUCUCUCUCUCUGCAUGCCCUAGUCCAGACCCAACCACCCCUCUCCCGAACCUCGCUCCUCUCUAUCACGCCGCGCCCGCUCGCCGCCCUUCUUCACUGUGCGCGCAACCCCCGCUCGCCGUCCUCCAUCUCUGUGCGCGCAACCCCUGCUCGCCACCCUCCUUCUCUGUGCGCGCCCACCUCCUACGCCGCCCCCCGCUCUCCGCGUCGCCCCUCUCUAUCAAACGAGGUAUCGGAUUUGUUUUUUUGACUUUUUUUUUUUGUUAUUGCAACAUAAAAAAAUAGAUCUGCUAUUUUUAUUUUUCAUAUGUUUUUUUUUUAAUUUGUUUCUUGAUUUUUUGUGAUUAUUCCAUUGUUGGUUUUGUGGUUAUAUAUAUUGUUGUUUUAUUGAGCUCGAGACAAAUGUAAUAAACUAAGAGAUCAUCAGAACACUAAUUUUGCCUUAUCUUUUCUUAAAAUUUUAUGUCUGGUCUUUUCCUUUAAGCAAAUCUUUUUGCAUAACCGAGCAUUCAUGCAUAUUUUGCAAUGUAAUGCAGGAGUUGGAGCCAGUAAUCCACUUUGUGCCGCAACCAGAACGAAAGCAUCAGCUUCGCAGAACAAGUUCUGCCCUGUUCUGAUCAUGUUUAUACUAACUAAAUUUGUUGAUUAUUCAUGGGGUUGUCUUAUAUCAGUGAGCUUUUCUUAAGAAAAUCACAAAUUCAUCUUAGGAGCGGGGGGCGGCGUAGGAGGUGGGCGCGCACAGAGAAGGAGGGUGGCGAGCAGGGGUUGCGCAGACAGAGAUGGAGGACGGCGAGCGGGGGUUGCGUGCACAGUGAAGAAGGGCGGCGAGCGGGCGCGGCGUGAUAGAGAGGAGCGAGGUUCGGGAGAGGGGUGGUUGGGUCUGGACUAGGGCAUGCAGAGAGAGAGAAUGUGAGAAAGGGAGAGAUGGGGGAUUUUCUUCUCAGAUCCAAAGAGAGAGAGAGAGAGAGAGAGAAGGGUGGGCAGCAAACGGAACAAACGGGCUUUCUUUCCGUUUGCAUCCCAUAAAAGCCCCGCACGAAUCUCGAAGCAAUCUAAUGGCUAAAAACCCUCUAGCAUGAAUGCUGCUGUGCUAUCAAUAGCAUAGCAGCAUUACUCUAUAUAAAACGCUUCUGAUUCAUUAGUAUCAAUAAUGAUUCGAACAAAUUUGAAUUUGUUUCUAAUACAUUCAAUGAUAUAAGAGCAUAUUCAUCGUGCCCAUCGUCGAUUAGAGCCCCAUCAUCCGAAAACAAAGGGAUGAAGGAGCCCGUUCCUACUCAAUAGCAUCUCCAUCAUCAACUCUACUAUACAGUAUAGGCGUCCAGUACUAUAACUAUCAGCACGGUACACGGAGGCCUCCGUUGCUAUCAAGUUGUUUGAUUCAAUGAUGCGGAUUCUCAAUCGUAUCGAUCAGACAUUAGACUUGAUCUACACUAUUGUAAUUAUUGAUAACUAAUUAAAUAUUUUCUCUAUUAUUGAGCUAUAAUCAAAGUACUCAAAAUUGAACAAUUUUAAUGAUCAAAUUGUAAUGCUAUUGUUAAUUUAUGGAUGCUUAAAAAAAUUCAAAAUCUUGAUAAAAUUUAUAGCAAAAUCUUACUUCACAUUAAUAGUUAAGAGAGUACCUCUGAUCUUAAAUUCAAGUUUUUAUCAUCACUAUUUUAUGAGAUUUUUAUUUUCACCAUUCAUUUAUUAGAUACUCAUUUUGAUAUUAAAUAUGAUCAAAAAUUAUAGAAAUUUAGUUCCAAUACUUCAAUAGUUUAGAUCCAAGUCUAAUAGAGCCGAUCCAUAUCAUGAAACAAACUGAUACACGGAGGCCCCAUUUACCAAUGUUAUAUCAUCGUAGCCUUCAGUAUAUAUAUAUAUAUUAUAUUAAAGAGAGAUCCCGUAACUGAGAGAGAGAGAGAGUGGGCACAUAUCUAUUGAUAGCCAAAAAAAGGCCUUUUUACUAUCAAUUUAACUUGGAUCAUUCGGUCAUCAUUCAUAAAUUCCAUAAAAUAAACCCGAUGAACACUACUAGAGGACCACCAACCUCUAAAAACUAAUAUCAGCCUAAUCUACAAUUUCAUUCAAUGGAUUAAAAACUGAUAGCAAAGGACCUUUGCCAUCAUAUAUUCUAGCACUUUAUAAUAUAUAUAUAUAUAUAGAAGAGAGAUGAGAAAUGAACGAUAGAAGAAGUAGACUUCUGGCUAUGGAACCGGUGUUUCAAUGAUUAACUUCGGAAUCACGAUCACUCCAAAUUAGACUUCAAUUCUGGUAUUGAAGUAUCUAGAAAAUAAAUUUGCAAUUUUUCGGGAUUCAUUUACCUAUAUGAGUCGAAAAGGUCAAAUCAACAAUUUUUAAAUGGUAUUGAUGGUAAUCUAUGUUAAAAAGCACUAAGACACACCAUAGGCGCAAAGCCUGUGAAGAGCUCAAGCGAUAAGCUCAAAGGCGUUAGAUGCCUAAGCGCAAGGCUCAAUGCGCAAUGUUCGCCAUGAGUAGAAGUUGAGGCGCACACUUUUAUAGAAUUUUGAAACCAAAAAGUUCUACUAUACUUUCUAAUAAUUGUAAGUAGCAACAAAAUUCUUAAAAUCAUAUUAUCACAAUAUCAAUAUUCUAAAUCACUCAAAUAUCACGUUUUUCGAAUGAGUAAAAAUAAGAAAAGAAAAUAUAAGCUAUAGCAGAUAAUUUGGUAAUUUUAAAAACAAAAAUCAACAAGAUAAAAGUGAAAGGGUAACAUUACCUAUUUUGUCUCCAUAAUAAAACAGGCUAAAUAACAUUAACACAAAUCACAAACAUAGUAAGAAAAAUUUGAUGUAACAAUAUAUAAUUAUAAGCCACAUAGAUCAUAAAAAAAUAACAUGCAUGAUCCAUAAAAGUUUGAGAUUUCAAGCCAAAGAUUCAUUUAAAAAAGCACUAUAGAUCUAAAUAAAAAAAAUAUGAUCCUAAACUCCAUUUAGAGCAUAUGAUUAAUCAACCAUUAGGUAAAACACUAGAAGGCACGCCUAGCGGCUUGUGCGCCUAGCUGGCGCGCGCCUGAGGCCGCUUAUUUUAAACUCAUUGUAUUGUUGUUUCCACAAGAUUUUAAUGGGUAGAAGAUUUAAAAUCAAAGAAAAAUUUGAUAAAAAAAAUUCUUUAUACAUAAUCUACAAUAAAUAAUUAUCUCUAAUCUAAAAUUUUAGUGCUAUUAUCUAUAACUUUUUUGUAAAUUUUUAUUUCAAGCCGUUGAUUUAAAAUCUUCUUCGAAUGCGUAGGUCUAAAUAAAUAUCGAAAUAAUCGCAAAAAUAUUAUUUUCUACAUACUUCAAAUAGCCAUUAGAUCAAGUCUAAGCAGUAACGUCGAUUCGAAAAAUCAAUCCAUCAUACAAAAACGGUUAUACACACAGCAUAUAUAUUAUAUACUAUAUAUAGAUGACAGAGAGAGAGAAGAGAGAAGCAAUUGAGCUUAGAAUAUUUUGAAGCAGCAACCCUUUGGUGUUCUAAGUUCUAGCCUUGUCAAUCUACCACUUAAUACUAAUACCCCUUGGAAUAAACCAUUUAUUCAACACUCACCACCACUACCACAUCAUCUCAACCCUAACAUCUCUCCAUCAAUGUAAAAAACUCAAAAGCCACACUCCUGGGUCUUUGAGAAGUAUUCUAGAUCUCACUAUUAUAUGUUAUAUAUUAUAUUUAUAUUUAUAUAUAUUAAUAUUAGUAACUAGGCACCUAUCUAUCGGCGAUAGCACUGACGCGCCUCCGCUGCUACUAAGUCGUUUCGAUGAUGCGGUCUUCCAAAUACGACGAUGGCUCCUUAAGUGAUCUAUCACUAGUUGAAAAGUAUUUAGAAACUAAAUUUCAUAUUUUUUCAUAUCAUUUACCUAUCAAACAAUGCUAAUCAUAAAUUGAACGGACUUAAAAUAAAAAAUCCUCAUAAAAAUGAUGACUAAAAAGAAAUUUAAAUCAAAUCAGAGAUAUAUAAUUCUUAUCUAAAUAGGGAAAAGAAUUUCUAUAAUUCAUCGCAUUUGAUUUUGCACUGUUAAACUCACAAACACACACAUCGCCAUUAAAAUUGUCAAUUCUGAGAUCUUUAUCACUGUAAUAUUUCAGAAUACUCUUCAAUAUGUAGAUCAGUCUAACGGAGCCGAUGUCGAUUUGAAGCCACUGAUUCAUGAAACACUUGGUGACGGAGCGCCGUCGCUACCAGAUAUGCAUAGUAGCGGACUCUUAUAUUAUUAAUAUAAUAGUAAUAUAUAUAUAUAUAAUAUAGAACUUUAUCCGUAUGGAAUCUAUAAUAGACACCAUGCCAUUGUGUGUAUUAGUUUUUACCAUGGAUGAGAAAUAUCGGUUAGGAUAUGGGCCCCUAGGUUGAGUGAGUGCGCUGGUUGAAUAUAUAAAUCUAACGAUGUUAAAAUAAUCAAAGGUUAAAAUCUAAUGGUAAAAACUCAGAUAGCACCAAAAUCCUUAUGGUUGGACUAUCAUAGUAUGCCAGUCGUCUUCAUCCUCUCCUUCUUAUAUAUAUACUAAGUAGUCCGGCUAUAAUACUCUUAUGAGUUAUGAUUGCCUUCGUACUAUAGUUGUUUUCAUAAUAAAGCUUACCGAACACGAUCUACCGUCAAACUUAUGUAGAGCAUUUAAAAUCUUCUAUAAUCAAAUUUUAUAAUUUUUGAUAUUCAUUUAGCAUUACGAUCAAAAAGUCACAAAAUUGGACAAUUUAUAACAGGUCGUAGAUAUCUUGCUAGUUUAACGUGUAAAAGAAUCGGAAAAUCGGUUGAUUUUUAAUAGAAAAUUCUAUUCUAUCUACUAGAAGAUCAAUAACUCCAUAAUUAAAUUGUAAGAAUUUAAGCGACCCAUUUUUAGGAUGUCCGUUCGAUUAUCGACCGUCAUUUGUAUACCCUCUUUGAGGACUUUAUUUAUUUGAUGAAAUUACGAAUGUAUUUCUCUAGAAGCUUCCAAUAAUACUCUUAGAUCAUAUUUAACGUUGUGGAUCGCUCGAUUCGGAAGAUCCAUCAUUUAAAAUAACUUAUGAGUACGAAGCUCGUAUACUCAUAAGGAGUAUAGUAGCCCCUACUCUAUAAUAUAAUAUAAUAUAAUAUAAUAUAUUAUAUAUAUUAUAUAUAUAUAUAUAUAAUAUAGAAUAAGCUCCUAUGCUUUUAGAAGUACCAAGUCAUUUGGUAAAUUUCGCCCUUGAAUUAUGAGGAUUGCGGUUAGGAUAUGUGCCCAGGUGAGUGUGAGUUGGUUGAAUAUAUAUAAUUUCUAAGUUAAAAUGAUUUAAAGCGCGUAGAUCUUAACAGGUAAAAUAAUUCACAAGACCAUAUUGCCUUGGUGCUUUUAAACCACCCAUCAUAGCUGACUUAUAUUAUAUAUAUAUAGAGCUAACUGCUGCUCAUCUAUUGAUAGACACAGCAGCUUCAUUCUAGAGAGUUGUAGCCAAUUUAGAUUGUUAUCGAGAUUCUGUGGCUUUUUAUGGAUGCAUAACGGUAAAGAAAGCCCAGUUGUUCCGUUGCUGCCCCCCCCUAUAUAUAUAUAUAUAUAUAUAUAGAGAGAGAGAGAGAGAGAGAGUUGAGCUAGAAUACUAUCGGUAGCAAAUGGGCUCCGUUGCCACCCAUUUGUUUUCGAUGAUGGAGCCUCCAAAUCGAUGAUCGGCACCGAUGAACAUGAUCUAUACCACUUGAAGUAUCAAGAAAUCAAAUUUUAUACUUUUCCGAUAUUAUUCUCUUGUCCAUCAAGUGGGCGUAAAAAUGAACGGCUGAAAAUGAAUAUCCUCUAAAAAAUGAUGAUAGAAAUUUUGUAAUCAAGAUCGAGAGUAUAUAUCUUAUUCUAAAUAGUUUAAAGAAUUUUCUCAUCAAAAUUCAAUUGAUUUGGAUAGCUUUACACAGUUAAACGAGAAAACGCCUCAUAUCUACCAUUAAAAUUACAAAUUUUGAAACUCUUUGAUCAUUAGGUCAAUGAUGCCGAAAUGAUUUACAAUUUGGUUUUAGAUAUUUCAAGUUAGUAGAUCUGUUCACGGUGCGAUCAUCAUUUAAGGCUCUAUAUCAGAAACAAUAUGGGGUGGACGAACAGUUUGAUGAUACGAUAGUUCAGAUAAUCUAUAGUAUUUCUUAUUAUGUAUAUAUAUAUUUAUAUUAUUAUUCCGAUUUUUAUUCACCGGUUAACAGCAAAUAUUCUUCGGCGUUAAAAUUGGUCAUUUUGUGAGGCUUUUGAUCAAGUAAAUGAUAUCAAAAAUUAUUAAUUGAUUUUUAGAAGUUUUAAAUGCCUUAUUAUGUUAACGUAUGGAUCGUCCAAUUGGAGUAUCAUGAAAAAACUUUGAUUACGAGCGAUUCACUACUAUAAGAGUAAAUGCGGCUAUUAUUUUAUUAUAUUAUUUAUAUAUUAGUAUAUAUAUAAAUAUAUAUAUAUGAUAGGGUCAGCUAUGGUGCUUGUAAAGCACAAGACUUGGUUGCUUGUGUUGUUUUACGUUAGAUCUUUCCGGUCAAUUUUCAAUUAGUUAUACUAUUCAACAACCACAUCACAUAGGGGGCCGCCAUAAUCCUACCGAUAUAUCUCUAUCCAAUGGUAAAAUCUAAAGCACAAUAAACUUAGUACUUUAGUUAUAGGAGCUAUUCUUAUAUAUAUAUAUUUAUUAUAUAUUAUUUUAUUAUAUUAUUAUUUAUAUAUAUUAUGAUAUUCUAUAGUUAUACUAUUUAAGAUUCCGGCAGUCCAAGUACUUGUCUGUUUGGAUCUUUAGGGUGCUCAACAUUUAACGAUCACUGUAUUAUUAUCUUAGGAUAUUGGAAGUUCUUAGGAAUAAUUUGUAGUUUUUCGACAUCGAUUUACUUAAUAAUUAUGUCAAAUGAGACGGUGGAAUUGAUAUUCUUUAAAAUUGAGAUAGGACUUUUUAAAUUCGAAGAUCGAAUGUUAACUUAGUAUCUGAAUGUUUUAAUGUAUUUUUCUAUCGAAAAUUUGAAAAAUUGAUUUUUACCGUUGACUCCAAACUGGCGCUAAUAGAUUGAAUUUGACAUGUUUGAAAUGGUUUGUAUAGUAAACUAUGUUCGACAAUAAAAAUUUUAUGUUUUUAAACUUUAAUCCUAGAAUCGUUUUACGGUUGAAUCGUUGAUUUGAACCUCCUAAAUCGAAAACGAGAUAUGUACGAGCCGUCUAUUAGAUUAGUUAUGAGGAGACUAGUUGUAUAUAAUUAUAUAUAUAUAAUAUAUACUUAUAUUACUAAAACUAGCUGGAUAUACGAUUAGCACCGCUAUUGGUGCUAUUGAUUUUUACCUUAGAUUGAGAAAUGUUAAUGGUUUAGUAGAACGAUGUGAGCCUCAUAGGUUGAGUGGUGAUUUGGUUGAAUAGUAUAAUCUAACAGGUUUAAAAACAUCUGAAGGGUUAAAUCUAAGGUGGAAAACUCAGAUGCAAUCUUGGUAUCUAUCAGAUGUAUACAGCGGAGGCUCUCAUCUGUCGCUCUCUCUCUCUCUCUCUCUCUCUCUAUAUAUAUAUAUAUAUUGCGAUUUUUCGAUAUCAUUUACCUAGCGAUCGAAAGGGUUCAAAAUCAACAAUUUUAAUGGUUGAUAUAUACCGUUUGCAAGUUAACGGUGUAGAAGUAUUCAAAUCCGAUUAAAUUUUGAUAAAAAAUUCAUUGUACUAUUUACAACAAGAUCAAUAUCUCUGAUCGAAAAUUUUAGUGCUAUAUCACCACUUUUUGUGAGAUUUUUAUUUUUAGCCAUUGAUUUUGAACCUUUUCGAUCGCUAAGUAAAUAUAUUGAAAAAUCGCAAAAUUUAUUUUCUAGAUACUUCAAAUAUACUAGAUCAAGUCUAACAGAGCUGAUCGUCGAUUUGGAAGCUCCAUUAUCGAAAGCGGCUUAGGAGCGCGAAAGCCUCCGUGCUCCUAAUAGCACACAAGACCGACUCUCUCUCUCUCUCUCUCUCUCUCUCUCUCUCUCUCCCCCUAUAUAUAUAUAUAUAUAUAUAGAACUAGGCCGGAAUACUAUUAAUAGCACCAAGUCAUUGGUGCCAUUAGGUUUUCGAUCUUUGGAUUAAGGGAUGUGCGGUUAGGAUGAUAGUGGUCCCCUAGGGUUGAGUGAGUGGUUGGUAGAAUAGUAUGAUCUAACGGGUGGAAAUUGUCAAGAGGGUAGAUCUAACGGCAAAAAACUUGGUAGCACCAAGUGUUUGGUGCUAUUGAUAGCAUUGUAUCCGGACUCUCUCUCUCUCUCUCUCUCUCUCUCUAUAUAUAUAUAUAGAGAGAGAGAGAGUCUGGGUACUAUUAUGAGUACGAUCGCCUCCGUACUAAUAACCCGUUUUCAAUGAUAGAACUUCCAAAUCAACGAUCUAUACUGUUAAACAUGAUUUAAAGCAUUUGAAACCUAUAAAAAUCAAAUUUCAUAAUUUCUUGACAUCAUUUACUGUACUAUCAAAGAAACUCAAAAUUGAUAACUUUUAGCGGCCAAUAUGGGAUACUUGCUAGUUUAACGAUGUAAAAGAAUCAGAAUUGGUUGAAUAUAUAGAGUAUGGCUACUAUACUCUUAUUAGGCAAUGUUUGGUUCGGGAACAAAGGGAAAUAAACCUUUGUUCCCCCCUUGUUCCCAAAAGAGAAUUUCCGUACCCGAGAGCAGUAGUUCUCGAGUUUUUGGAAUAAGCUAGUAUAACCCGGUAUAAGGCUGAAACUAUUGUUCUACCCUUUUUCCUAGAACAACCUUGUUCCCAAGUGGGAACAAGGUUAAUUAAAGCAUAAAUUUAAUUUCAAUUAUGAUAUUAAAUCAUUAAUUAAUUUAAUUAAUAUAUUUAAAUCAUUACUCAUUGUUUAAAUAAUAAAGUAAUUAAUUAAUUUAUUACUUAUAAUUAAUUAGCUAAUUAAUUAUUAAUAAUUUAAUAUGUUUAUCUAUAAAUUAAUAUUUAUAUUGAUCAAUCAUUAAUAUUUUUAUUAAUCUAAUUAAUUUUUUUACUAGUUAUCUAACUAAAAUAAUUUACUAACUAACUAAAAAGUUAAAUUAUUUUUUAUAUUUAAUUAAUUAAUUAAUAUACUUUCAUUAUCUUAUACAAUAUUCAUAGCUAAUAAAUUUAUUAAUUUAUUAAACUAUUUUUAAGUAAUAUUUUGACAUUAAUUAAUUAUAGAUAAAAUAAUUUUAAUUUAAAAUUAUAACUCGUAUUCCUCAUGUGCCAAUCUAACCAUCCAAACACUAUUCACCUUAUUCCCAAGAACAACUCAAUGUUCAUCCAAAUGCAAAAUUGAUCUAGUUCCUGCUUAUACCUGAACUUGUACCUAUUCCUGAAAUAAAUAGUUCUUACUCAUACCCGAUUACCCGAACCAAAACGCAGCCUUAUGAGUAUAGACCCCUUCAUAAUUAUAAAUUGUUUUGAAUGAUGGAGCUUUCAAAUCGACGAUUUAUACCGUUAAAUAUAAUCUAGAGCAUUUGAAACUUUUAGAAAAUACAUUUCGUAAUUUUUUAAAAUCAUAUUAAAGUCCAUCAAGCGAGCAUAAAAUGAACGGUCAAAAUUAAACGACCUCCUAAAAAUAGAUAAUCGGAUUCUUCAACUUAAGAUCAGAGUUAUUGAUCUUUAUUUAGAGAGUGAGUAGUAUUUUCUAUCAAAACUUCAACCAAUUUCGAUUCUUUUACACUGUUAAAUUAGCAAGUAUCCCAUACCGGCCAUUAAAAUUUGUCAAUUUUAAAAUCUUUUGAUCAUAAGGUAAAUGAUGCCAAAAAAUUAUAAAAUUUAAUUUCUUGAAGUUUUAAAUGCUCUAAAUUAUGUUUAACAGUAUGGAUUAUCGAUUUGAAAGCUCCAUCAUCGAAAACGACUUAUAAGUACGAAAGUGAUCGUACUCAUAUACACAUAAUAAAUACACACACAUAUAUAUACACAUUUAUAUAUACACACACAUAUAUAUACACAUAUAUAUAUACACACGCAUAUACAUACGCAUAUAUAUACACACACAUAUAUAUACACAUAUAUACACACACAUAUAUAUACACAUAUAUAUAUACACACACAUAUAUAUACACAUAUAUACACACACAUAGAUAUACAGAGUCCAUCUACUAUCCUAUUAAUAGGAUUGAGGACAUUGUCCUAUCAAGUCGUUUUGAAUGAUCGGAACUUCAAAUUGAUAAUCGGUACCGUUGAAAUUGAUCUACACAAUUCGAAAUAUUUAGAAACCAAAUUUUGUAAUAUUUAAAAAUCAUUAUCAAGUUCAUCUUAAGAGUUGAAAAAUGAACGGUCAUAAAUGAAUAACCUUCUUAAAAUAGAGGUUAGACUUUCUCAAUUCAUAAUCAGAGUUAUCAAACAUUAUCUAAAUAGUAUAAAGAAUUUUCUAUCAAAAAUUCAAGCAAUUUGGAUUGCUCUACACCGUUAAACAAGCAAACGGCUCAUAUAGGCCGUCAAAAAUUGUCGAUUUUACGACACUUUGAUCACCAUGUAAAUAAUUUUUAAAAUUUAUGAAAUCUAGUUUCAAGAUAUUUCAAAUACUCUAGAUCAACUUCAACGGCUCCGAUCAUCGAUUUGGAAUCUCUAUCAUCAAGAACAAUUUGAUAGGACAAGUGCUACUAUCCUCAUAAGAGGAUAGUAGCCCUAGCCUAUAUAUACACAUAUAUAUACACACACACAUAUAUAUACACACACACAUAUAUAUAUAUACACAUAUACGUCCAGAAAAGGGAAAUCUAGUAUAGCUAUGAUGGGAAGCUGAAACAAGCUUGUUGGUCCCAAAAGCGAAAGGUUUAAUUCAAAGCUUCUACUGCUAGUUGCAGUGGGAAAUGUUUGGAGAAUUUUAACAGAGAAAACAAAGGAGGCAUAAAAGGCUGGGAGUUACUUAGUCACUGCCUUACCACUAACUCUAGCAUAAAUGCUAACAGAACUUUCACAAAAGUUCAAGCAGGCCAAACAGGCUGGGAGUUACUUAGUCACCGCCUUACCACUUACUCUAUCAUAAAUGUUGUUCGUCGAGAUCCCAACAUAAACCAAAUUGAAGCUAGAUAUUCAUUCCCAUUGGUUCAAUUUUCAAUUACAAAUUAUAUUUUACCAUUUCACACUACAAAAUCCUAAUUUCUUACCUGAAACCAAGUAUGCAAGUUAAAUGUUCAACAUGGAGAAGACCGAGAACCCAAUAAAGGAACCCUAGCAUCUUUUCCAGCAAGGAAGCGUGAGCAAGAAAAAGCUUAGUAUAGGAGAGAAACUCACUUGAGCUCAAAUCUGCGUCUUCGUCAUCCUCGUCGUCGGAGGAGGAGGAGUACGAAGAGGAAGUAGAAUCCGAUCUAUGAUCGGAGACGAACGCGGAAGAGAUGAACUUCCCGGCGCCGUAGAAGAACCCUUGGAGCCAAUUAGGGUUUCCAGAUUCGGCGAUGGGAGGAUGAGGAAGAGAAGGUUGUGGUGGUGGCGGCGGAUUCUGUGACGGGCGCGCGUAGGGCGACGCCGCCGCCGCCGCUGGUCGCCGGCCCCGGAGAAUCUUGCCGCCGGUUUGGGGCUCCGAGGAGCGGCGAAGCCUAAAGAGUGAGGCCAUGGAGGAGAAAGAGAGAGAGGAGACGGAGGUAGGAGAAUUUGAAGGGAGAGAGAGAGAGAGAGAGAGAGAGAGAGAGAGAGAGAGUAAUCUCGGGAUGGGUGGAGCUAAAGGUCGGGGGAGCGGGGCGGGGGGGAGGGAAAUUGGAAGGGAGGAGAUCAAGAUGGAUGGAUUUUGGAGAGUGGGGGGUUUGGUCUUUGCUCGAAAAGACCACAGUGAGGAAUUGUUGCAAGCACCGUGUUUUAUAGACCGGGUUCACUGCUUUUAUGAAGAAACCGCAAAUGCCAACUUGCAACAAAAUACUUAGGGCCUGUUUGGUUCGCCCUUUUCAUCCGUAAUCAAAUCGGAAUGGACGAUUUCAUUUGUCUGUAUUUAGAAUACGAAAUUUUCAUUUCGAUUUUGAUUUUCUUAUGAAUAGAAAUUCCCCUAAUUACCCCUUUUUUCUAAUCCGGCCUAGGGGGUCGGAUUGACCGGAUUGAAAAUUGAAUCCGAGCAUAAUGGAUUUGUUUGAAUUAAAUUUAACUUUUUAAACUUAUUUUUAAUUAAGAAUAAGUUAAAAUUUAAAAAUUAUAUUUAUAAUUUUAAUUUUAAUUUAAAAUUAAAUUAAAAAUUAAAAUUCAAUCAAGCAUUUAGAAUCUACUUUAUAAAUUUAAAUUUAAAUUUAAAAUUUAAAGUUUUAUUCAAAUUUUAUUUAAAAUUUAAAUUAAAUUUAUGGAUUCAAAUUGAAAUUUAAAUUAUAAUUUUAAGUUUGAAUUUGAACAAAUUGAAAUUUAGUUUUAUAUUUUGAAUUCUCCGUUCAAUUUCAAAUUUUAAUUUUUAAAAAAAAUAUAUUUAAAUUUUUGACAUCAUUUUAAAAUUUUGACAUUAAUUUUUAAUAUUUAAUUUUUUAUUUGAAUUUGAACUAAUAUAUUAUAAAGAUAAAAUUGGCAUAUUAAUUUGAUUACGUUUCUGAUAUCGAACCAAACACUCACAAUGAGGAUAGUUCAUUCCGAUUUCGAUUCAGGUGGCGAAUCAAACAGAAUGAUAUAAUGAAUCAUUCUGAUUCCGUUUCUAGCUUAUUUUCAUUCUGAUUUCAAUAUCAAUUCUGACUUCGAAUCAAACACAUCCUUAAGACUAACAAACCAGCCCAAGUGAUGCCAGGAAUUAUCUCACCCAAGCAAUCAGCCUU
rnacentral:lncRNA from 1 species